rnacentral:tRNA from 1 species
GCCGGAGUGGUGAAAUUGGUAGACACGUCGGAUUCAAAAUCCGAUUCUCGCAAGAGAGUGCCGGUUCAAGUCCGGCCUUCGGUACCA